rnacentral:lncRNA from 1 species
AAGUAUCAAAGUCUUUUUGUUUUUUGUUUUUUUUUUAAGAGAUAGGUAGCAUGCUACGCCCUUCGUUUAUUUCAUUUAGAAAUAAACUUAGCUGAAAAUGUGAAUCAACUAGAAUUCGAAUUCGAGACCUCAGGUACCAACAACCAAGCCCUUUGCCACUUGCGCUAGGGACGGUCAGUGUCUUUUUGUCUUUUCGUUAUCUGGUUUCCAAUCUUUUC